GAUGAACGCUGGCGGCGUGCCUAAUACAUGCAAGUCGAGCGAACGGACGAGAAGCUUUCUUCUCUGAUGUUAGCGGCGGACGGGUGAGUAACACGUGGAUAACCUACCUAUAAGACUUGGAUAACUUCGGGAAACCGGAGCUAAUACCGGAUAAUAUUUUGAACCGCAUUGUUCAAAAGUUAAAGAAGGUCUUGAUGUCACUUAUAGAUGGAUCCGCGCUGCAUUAGCUAGUUGGUAAGGUAACGGCUUACCAAGGCAACGAUGCAUAGCCGACCUGAGAGGGUGAUCGGCCACACUGGAACUGAGACACGGUCCAGACUCCUACGGGAGGCAGCAGUAGGGAAUCUUCCGCAAUGGGCGAAAGCCUGACGGAGCAACGCCGCGUGAGUGAUGAAGGUCUUCGGAUCGUAAAACUCUGUUAUUAGGGAAGAACAUAUGUGUAAGUAACUGUGCACAUCUUGACGGUACCUAAUCAGAAAGCCACGGCUAACUACGUG
rnacentral:rRNA from 1 species